GGGGUUGUAGCUCAGUGGUAGAGCAUUGGCUUUUCAUGCAUGUAUGACUGGGUUUGAAUCUCAGCACCA
rnacentral:tRNA from 1 species